AUUUUCAGAAAACUGGUUAUGGAAAGUGUAUCAUGUUCCCACAAGGUAUCAGGUGGAUUUGACGUUCCCUGCUUUUUUAACUACAUGGGAAAUUCAAGGUAUUAGCAUUUCAGAUAAAGGUCUGUGUGUCACUGAUGAGCUGCUACUGGUGGUGUCUGAAGAUCACUUUCUGGUCAUAAAGAACAAUGUCACAGAGACAUUUCCAAGACCCAGACUCCCGUGCCGACGGCAGUAAGUGGAUGGCACCAAAGAACCCAAAUCAGAUGACAUGUGGCACUAGAUUCAGUCCCUGAGAAAUCUGACCCAAAAUUAGUGCACACAAUUCACUUCAAGGCUGAGGAAACUGAGUAGCUGGUGUCCAAAAGACUUGGA